rnacentral:lncRNA from 1 species
CAGCUGUUCUUGGUUUCAGAGCGUAUGUACUUUAUUGUGCUAUGGUAAGUUUUUUAUUGUUCAAAAUAACUGCGGAAUUUUCUAGAUGUGUUAAAGACCCAUUGGUUGCCUUCGACUGAUUCUGUCCUUGAUCUGGGCGUUGUCUCUUUUACACAAUUUCACUUUCCCCAUUUCCAGAUUCAAUUGUACAAUGCAUAAUUAUCAAUAUUAAAGAGAAGUAACAAAAGUAUCCUUAUCAUCCCAUUCAAAAAUAGCGGUGCUUAAAUUUCAAUCUGCAUGAGAAGAGAAGCGAAAGAUACCAGGGAGACUUUCAAACUCGAAAAUAAACUGACAAUGUCAUGGCUAAAAGAAAAAAGACCUACACACAAACACAAAUACAUAAAAUACAACAUAGAAAAAUAUAACUGAACAACACGACUUAACUUAAACGUUAGGAUGAUCUCCAAUGCUCUAGAAGGGUAAGCAGAUCCUUCUCCACAGAGAAGUUUAGUGUAUAUAUUGAACAUAACGUCAUUUGUGUUUAGGUUUUAUAACUGAUGUUAGCAUUUUCGUUAGCAUAUUGUUUCUUUGGCCAUCAUAUUGUCAGUAGGGCUUCGACAAAUGAUUUUGAUUAUACCUUAGUUUAAAGUUAUAUUUGUAAAAGUAUAUGGUAGAACUUAAAACAAUUAACAUUAUUUGUAACAAAAUUCAUGCAGAAUCUGUUCAAUUAAAGAGUGUUAUAUUUUUCUUAGAAAUAUUUCAAGUAAAUUGAAAGUAUAAGUUAUGUAUUUUGCAAUUAGCCUGCACUAAAUGGUAUUCAAUAAUUCAAUCUAAUUGAGAAAGAAGCAUUACUAGAACAGCUAAAAAUCUUUCUCUCAAUUCAAAUUUGAAACAUCUUAGGAAUGCAUUAUUGAAGCUUUCGAAACCUUUGACAUGAUUUGUAUAUCAAAAGUGAUACAUGCAGUAUUAGAGGUCUAAUUUUGAUCUUUUACUGUACAAAUUUUAAGUUAUUUUUACAUCAAAUAGUUUAUUUCGUUACAGGCUCAUUUACCUAAACUCAAAGAUGGAGGAAAUGAAGAUAUCUUACACCAACCAGAAAACAAUAGAAGUACAAUAAGAGAAUGUGCACCAUUACUGACAAAUCCAAAGAUCAAAUUUGGCAAAACUAAACCUGAUUAUAAAGAUAUUACAUUCAUUCAAGUGCAUCCGAAUAAACCGAGG